CCAGAGAAGGUCCACAGAGAACAGCAACACUCAGCAGGUGCCAAUAAGGACAGAAUCAGAGAGCUAAUUUAAUCUGCUUCUCAGGUUGCUGAAGGAUCAGCAGAACGUGGACUUCCUGAGAUACUCUGUUCUCAUACUUACUCUAGAGAUAGUCACUGAAGGUGAAAUAACUUCUAAUGUGAUGUACUCCAUUACAUCCUGGAUAUUGCUGCUGCCUGAUGCAUGUACAUCCAUCCUGCUUGAUUCCACCACACUUUUUCAAGCCAACAGCCUAAUAAUGAAGCUCUUCAUGAGACUGUGAAGCCAGCACCAGCAACAAUGAGUCUUCAUUAUUCCUGGAGAAGACUGGGGUGUUUGAUAUGCAUGAAGCUUUGUGCAGAUAGCUACGACUAUAAACUGCCAUUUGUUACUGUCAAACAAAUAAGUGUUACAACUAUUCAGAAGUGUUGCUCUUCUUGA